CAGGCAGGAGCCACUCGCCAGGUCUUCCGACGCGAGGAGGUUGGCAUCAAAGCCCUCCUCCCUGUGAGCGGGGUACCGGCAGCUGGCUCGCCCCCGUCUCCGUUCAUUUCUACCUUAGCAAAGAGAAUAAAAUAACGGAUAAAGGCAAAAUAAAGCAUUAAUAAACACAGUCGUCUCCGCGGGGCUAAGGAAUCAACCAACGGGUAUCUCACUCUGCUUACAAAACUCCUCUUCUGGCGCUGUGAAGGCUAUCUACACGAUAAGAGCUGGUGUUCUGUCUGUUCUACCUCGGCAUUCCUCGCAAAGCCAGAGACAACACGCCAGUCUGCCCAAACAAAAAAAUAAAACACCAGACAGGCUUCUUUGGGAAAAGCAAAGUUACAUGUGAAAGAGGAAUUGCAACUGGAAUUUACAGCAAUGCUAGCCGUCAUGCCAUCAGGUCAAAUCCUGAUCCUACUCACUUUAUUGUAAACAAAGAGUGGUCCCAGGGACACGUCAGCUAUGGCAGUUCUUUAUUAGGCCCUUUUUUCAUAAGUCUGAGCUCUUCAAAAAUAAUUACAUGGAGAGACAUUUUAGGGUAUUGAAAAUAAACCUUUGUAUUUUCUUGGUGUAA